UGCGAGACCAGUGUUCUAAGUGUCCGGUCCUGCUUUAAUCACAUUCAGAGCCAAGCCUGGCUAUGUGCUCUACAAUUUAACCCCAGGACCAACAGCACUGUGGACCAGAGUGAGGGGGCAGUGAUGAGAAGAAACAGGAUCAACGAGAGCUCCCGAUGAAUUACAAGUCUACUGUCUAAUACUCUCUUCACUUUCGGCAUGAUCUUCUCCUCAUCUGUUAGUCACCAAGACUGCCGGCCUCCCUCAUCUCAUUCUGCCAACACCCUGUCUCCGUCUCAUCCUCUGAGCUGUUUCCACUUACCCUCUUCUUGAAAGAUACAUCCCAAUGUCACUGUUACCUCUCAUUUUACUUUUAAAAAAAUCAAUGUUUUAUCUUAUUU